AAAAAAAUGGUGUAGCUUUUUUAACAAAAUUUUAUUGUGAAGUAUGAAAAUUAUUUUCUUCUUGAUUUAAUGAAAAACAAUAAAUUUGUGAAACUCCUUAAAAUGAGUUUCUGGUGAAACAAUCUUCUUUCGCAUGUUAGAAAGUCAAUCUGUCUUUUUAUGAAACAACUUUCAUGUAAUGGGCUGUAGAUCAGUUGCAUUUAAAUGCAUCACUAAGUUUUAUUCUGUUUUUAAUAGUCUAUUUUAAAUAAACAAAUUACUGUUAA